GGAGGCGUGGCAGAGCGGCUGAAUGCACCGGUUUUGAAAACCGGCAAGGUGCAAGCCUUCGGGGGUUCGAAUCCUCCCGCCUCCGCCA
rnacentral:tRNA from 1 species